rnacentral:lncRNA from 1 species
UUGAGCCGAAAUCUAAAGGGCGGAGAAAAGUCAACUACGUGUAGUGGGCAGCCUAAAAGGGCAGAGGCGAGCAUUCCAGGCCAAAGGAACAGCAUAUGCCAAGGCCUUGUGUGGCUGGAGGAACUGGAACCUGGGAAAGCAAAACAAGAUGAGGCUGGAGAUAUCCCUCCCCUAGAGUUUCCACAUGCUCCAGUGCUUUGAAGAGGCUCUUGCCCUCCCACUGUGUGGUUACUUCACCUGGACCCAUUCUUCUCCUGCUCUGAAUUGACCCUCUUCGUCUCCCAACAAUCAAAAUGUCCAUCGUUUCAGGC